rnacentral:tRNA from 1 species
CGCGGGGUAGCUCAGUCAGGUAGAGCAGGGCGCUCAUAACGCCAAGGUCACGGGAUCGAAGCCCGUUCCCGCAA